GCCAAAGUACAAUUGUUGCUCGCCCAGAGCUGUGCAUAGCAGUGGUAUUUACAGAUGGUUGGGUGGUAGAAAGUCAAUAACUACAUUUCAUUAUAGUUUCCUGUUUCCUUCUUGAUCUUUCACAAGGGAAGAUUUUCUUUUUUAGAGGUACAGAUUCUCCUUGGUUAAGUCCUGAUUAAAAUUCCAGGUGAGAGAUUAGUAAACCUUGGUUAAAGAAGUGGCAUCAGGAAAUGCCUACGUCUUCAUGGCCUGGUAACGUUCAGUGAAUAUGUUUAUUAACAGACAAGGCCAUUCAGCCCGACCCCAAGACACUGAAGACUCUGUUUGAAUCGGACUCACAGGUUCCUUCCUAGCCACUCUCAGGGACAGGAAUGCUGCUGGAGAAGAAAUUUUUGGCAGUGGCUCAUGGAGUUUCCCUUUACCAACCUGGAAAUGGCAUUCAUUUUAUUGGCUUUUGUUAUCUUUUCCUUAUUUACACUGGCUUCCAUCUACACUACUCCGGAUGACAGUAAUGAAGAGGAAGAACAUGAAAUAAAGGAAAAGAAAAGGAAGAAGUCUGAAAAGAAGAAAAAUUGCUCAGAAGAAGAGCAUAGAAUUGAAGCUGUUUAGCUAUGAUCUCAUAGCCACAGAUAUUUCUUGCUAAGAAGACAGAGGAAUCAUGGGAACUACUUAUCCACAGUAAACAAGAGGAGGGGAUAAUCAAAAAAAUCACUUACUGAUUAAACAUGAUGAUAAUAAUCAUUAAUAAAAUCAAUACUCAGGAAAUGGCUUCACCACAUUUCUGUGACUCAGCAUUAUCCAAAAUAUCUGUUAUGAGCUACACAGUAUUCUAGCUGCAAUGGAUUAUACAAAAA